rnacentral:rRNA from 1 species
GCAGUGGGGAAUAUUGGGCAAUGGGCGCAAGCCUGACCCAGCAACGCCGCGUGAAGGAAGAAGGCCCUCGGGUUGUAAACUUCUUUUGUCAGGGACGAAGCAAGUGACGGUACCUGACGAAUAAGCCACGGCUAACUACGUGCCAGCAGCCGCGGUAAUACGUAGGUGGCAAGCGUUGUCCGGAAUGACUGGGCGUAAAGGGAGCGUAGGCGGCGCAACAAGUUAGGAGUGAAAUCCCGGGGCUUAACUCCGGAACUGCUUUUAAAACUGUUGUGCUUGAGUGAUGGAGAGGAAAGCGGAAUUCCUAGUGUAGCGGUGGAAUGCGUAGAUAUAUGGAAGAACACCAGUGGCGAAAGCGGCUCUCUGGUCUGUAACUGACGCUGAGGUUCGAAAGCGUGGGUAGCAAACAGGAUUAGAU